GAUCAUGGCUCACCCGGAUGAACGCUAGCUACAGGCUUAACACAUGCAAGUCGAGGGGCAGCAUGAAAGGAACUUCGGUUCUUUUUGAUGGCGACCGGCGCACGGGUGCGUAACGCGUAUCGAACCUGCCUCAUACUCGGGGAUAGCCUUGCGAAAGUAAGAUUAAUACCCGGCGGUCUCGGAUGGCCGCAUGACUAUCCGAGUGAAGAUUUAUCGGUAUGAGAUGGCGAUGCG
rnacentral:rRNA from 1 species